AUCUGACCUCGACUGGGGAUGGGAGGAAGGAAGGUUUUAUGAAUCCACGCGAAUGAUUCAUGCAGACGCCGGCUCCAGAGAGAGGUGGUGAAACACCAUCCUGGAUUGUGGUGCGGCGGCACGGACGCAGAGCGACAUGAGCGCAGGGAAACUUCUGAGGCUCAGGAUGGACGUACCUGUCAUCAUGCUGCUCAUCCACUUGACCUACACGGAGAUCAGAGCUCUGGUGGCCAGCAGCGGGGUGGAGGGGGAGGACAGAUGCCCCCUUGGCCAGUUUCCAUGUGGGAACCUGAGUGAUUGUCUCCCUCAGGCGUUGCAGUGUAAUGGACACAAAGACUGUCCCAACGGAGCGGAUGAGCGACG